GCUUGCGUCAAUCGCACCAAUCAUGCUCGCCAAGAUCUUUGUCCUCUUCGCUCUCGUCGCGGCGGCCUUGGCUGGACACGGCCACGUACUGCGGAGUGACCACGGUGUCCAAUACCAAUACGACAACCAGAAAACCGGUCACGGCUGGGCCUACCCGUCUCACUUCAUCGUGCCGUCUGGUUCCUACAAGUUCGUUGGUGGAUACGGCGGCGGCCACUACGGUGGAUACGGCGGACUUUACUAAACGCUAGCUAACGAAAGGAUCGGAGGAAGCCGCAACUGAUCAGCUGGUGGCUUCAAGUAAAUAAAUUCUGUACAUGUA